AUUGAACGCUGGCGGCAGGCCUAACACAUGCAAGUCGAGCGGAAGAAGGGAGCUUGCUCCUGGAUUCAGCGGCGGACGGGUGAGUAAUGCCUAGGAAUCUGCCUGGUAGUGGGGGAUAACGUCCGGAAACGGGCGCUAAUACCGCAUACGUCCUGAGGGAGAAAGUGGGGGAUCUUCGGACCUCACGCUAUCAGAUGAGCCUAGGUCGGGUUAGCUAGUUGGUGGGGUAAAGGCCUACCAAGGCGACGAUCCGUAGCUGGUCUGAGAGGAUGAUCAGUCACACUGGAACUGAGACACGGUCCAGACUCCUACGGGAGGCAGCAGUGGGGAAUAUUGGACAAUGGGCGAAAGCCUGAUCCAGCCAUGCCGCGUGUGUGAAGAAGGUCUUCGGAUUGUAAAGCACUUUAAGUUGGGAGGAAGGGCAGUAAGUUAAUACCUUGCUGUCUUGACGGUACCAACAGAAUAAGCACCGGCUAACUUCGUG
rnacentral:rRNA from 1 species